AGGGAUCUCGUGCGUUCCUGGCCAUGGCGUGCCCCAGAUUUCGGAUCCAGCUAUAAAGCCGUGCUCCUAGACUCCCUCCUCUUCUUCCUCUUUCGCCAACGGCACCAUAGAAGUGAAAGCAGAUGAGUGAGCCAGCUAGCGCCGUCGUUGACUCGCGUGCCCGUCGUGCCGCCGCACCGCAUUUGGUGCCCACCGCGGUCGGGUGUCCGUGUGGAGGUCGCGGGAAUCGCCAGUAGGCAGGGAUCGCUCUCGCACGGGACCUAGCGCUGGAGGUCAGCCGUGGUGGGCGAAUUGGCCGUCGGAGUUGGGGAAGAGGGCCGCGGAUACAAGCCUCGCCGCCGAGACCACUGACCAUCUCCUAUGCGGUAAGAACUCUAUCAUCUUGCUCGAAUCGCCCAUAGUAUCGUAUCGCGCCGCGUGUGACCGUGUAGAGAACUUGGGGGCUGGGAAUUGGUUGCCGUGAUGGCUUCGGCAUCUGGGGACCGCACCAUCGCGGUGACUGGAGCACUUGGAGCUCAAUUAGUGAAAUUGAGCUUACGAUUAGAGUCGUCGUGAACUGCGCAUUGUGUUGGUACCCUCGGGUGCGCUUAUGGGGCAUCGGAACACCAAAUGGCAUGCUCGCCGGCGUUCGGCCGCCGCGGGAGGGCGGCGCCGCCACGCGGAUGGCCCAGGAAGGGGAGAGAUGAGCUCGAACCGGCGAUAUCGUUACGGAGGGCUAGGAUUAGUUAAUGUGUGCCCCCCUUCAUGCGAUCAUAUCGCGACCGUUGGAUCGCUGGUGAACGACUCGGAUCAGACCCAGAAGCCCCUUUUAGGUGAUCGAAUCCGAUCCGUAGGAUUUGGAUCCGAUGAUCGGGAUUACAUACCGAUUCACGCGGAUGUUGUUUUAAUCUGGUGCGUACAUCUCAGAUCUGAUGGCCAAUAUCACCCGAUACCCUUUCGCUCUGCUCAUUUACAUAAGAAACCCUAUGAUAUUUGAGAAUGAACCCGCCAUCCGUGGGAGCGGUGCUCUAUGUCUGCAGAUUCUUACCCCUAGACCCCCUAACGUUUCCAGAAAUUGGCGCCCAGUCCAGAGUAGAUUAAAAAUAGUGAAAUAACAUUAGAAAUUCGUUUUUAAUACAAAAAUAAAUCUAUAAACUUGUUUAUUGCAUAGAAAAUUCAUUCUAGCUCCAAAUUGAGCCAUUCCAAUUUCUAAAAUUUUAUAAUAAUAUUCUCUAUCAUUUAGUGUCUCUGUUUAUACAUGAAAACAAUAAAAAAAAAUUUAUCAUUUAAUCCUAUUUUAAGCACAUUAAAUCUUAGAAAAUUCAUAACUUGAAUUCUAUAACUCCAAAUUUAGUGAUUCCAGUUCCUAUGAUUUUAUUUUAAUAUGUAGAUUUUUAUUGUGUAUUUUAUUCACAUGUUUGGUGCAAUGUUAAUUCUUGCUAUACCAUGUAUGUAUUGUGUUGAUACGAGUAGACGAGCAAGCCACUGUAGAUUCUGAGGUUCAGCAAGUAGAAGUAGCUGAGCAGGAGCUCAUUGAAGGCAAGUUGUGCCCUUGAUCACUUACUUUUUCCCAGCCAUGUUCUUAUUAAUUAUAAUGAUCUGCAUAGGAUAAUUUUGAUGGGACCCAAUAUGUAACGCCCUGAAUUUGGGGGUAGAAUUUUUUCUUCUUUUCUCUCACCAAAUUCGGGCGUUACUCUCUUUUCUCUUCCCCGUUUGCUCCUUCUUCCCAAUUUCAAACCAGUAUAGCGGCAGGUGUCCGUGUCACGUAUAAACCAAAACCUAAGUGUCAUGGGUGUUGCAUCAUGCCGAAGCACAUUUCUUUGUCUGAUGUUGAGUGUUCGUCUCGUUCCGUUCCGGAUUUCGGUUCGCGAUUUAAUUCUGUUUAGUGGUCCGCGCUCGUCGUGGGUUUUCGAUCCGCGAAGUGGCCCGGCCCAGCCCAGCCUAGUCCAGCCCAGCCCAGCCGGCCCGGCCCGCCCCGGCCUGCGCGCCCCUGGCGCCCAAACCCCCCAUGCGCCCCCACCCCUCUCUCUCUCUCAUUUGGAUCUCCCGCGCAACAACCUCUCCUCUCCCUCUUCCACCUCUCUCUCCCCGUGGUGCCCUAGGAUUUGGAGACGGCGAUCACCGGAUUUUGGACCCCGAGGUGAGCUCCCCUCCCCUCCCCUUCUUCUCUCCCUCUCCCUCCUCUUCUUCCCCCCGCGCGCGCCCUCCCUUUUCCCCUGCCCGCACGCGCCCCUGCCCGCCCCUCCCCGGUCCCGCGCGGCGGCGCUCGGCCCCGCCCCGGCCUCCCUGGCGGUGCUCGGCUCCCGCUCGGCCCUCCCCGGCGCAGCGGCGCCCGUCCCCGGCCUCCCCUCGCGCGGCCCCGCCCGGUCUCCCUCCCCGAGGCGGCGCUCGACCCCUCCCCCUCCCUCCCCGGCGGCGCUCGGCCCCGUCCCGGCCUCCCCGGCGGCGCUCGGCCCCCCCCGCCCGGCCUCCCUCCCCUCGCGCGCGGCGGCGGCGCCCGCCCCUCCCCCUCGCGCGCGGUGGCGGCGCCCGCCCCCACCCCGGCCCGCGGCGGCGCCCACCCAUCCCCGCCCCUCCCCGGCGCGGCAGCGCCCGCCCCCUGCCCCGGCCCCUGCGCGCGGCGGCGCCCGCCCCGUCCCGGCCCCGUGGCGGCGCUCGCCCCUGCCCCGGCCCCUGCGCGUGGCGCUCGCCCACCCCACCCCCGGCUCGGCCGCCCGCCUCCCGGCGAGCUCGGUCGCCCCUGGCCGGUUCAACCGCCCCCCUGGCCGGUUCAACCGCCCCGGCCCCGGCUCGGCCGCCCGUUCCCCCGUCCCGGCCUCGCCCGACCGUGUCCCCGCUCGCCCGCGCUCGCGGUGAUUAUUUGUUAAUUAGCGUGUUGCGUCGCGCACUUCGUCGCGCAACGGAUUUGUCUAAUUUCAGAUUCUAUCUGUGUGUUGCGUCGUGCGCUUCGUCGCGCGACGAUCCAUUUUUGUUUCAGGUUGUUUAAGGUGUAACGCCGCGUGUGUAUUCACGCGACGUUCCACUUUGGACUCAGUUUAGUCGACGUAUGCCGUCGUGCGCUUCGUCGCGCGACGCUUAACGUCUCCUCAUAACUAAGGCGAAGUGUCUCGUUGCGUGCUCGGUCGCGCGACGAGUCGUUAACUUCUUAAUUUGUUUUAGAGAGCUUUGUCGCGCGUCUCGCCGCGCGACUAUCCUUUUAUUUAUCUCCACCUGCUUAUAAUAAUUAGACAUGAAACAUGACUUUACUUUACGCUAAACAUAGUGUCUGCAUUAAAUUUCCUUCCAUUAAGCGAGUGGUUAAUUUAUAAUCAUGUAACGUGACCGUUUCUCGACUGUCUUGUUCUCUUUCUCUCUUAACUGUAACUGCGAGCCCGCGUGGAACGUCUGUUUACUUACUGCAUUCUAUUGUAUGGUGUACUGUUCUUUUGUAUUAAAUGUGUGGAUGUAUGUGUGUUUGCGCUCGCAUAGAGAACGAUCCGGUCGGAGAACCCGAAGAACUCGCAGGAGAAGCCCCUGAGCAGCAGUCGGUUGGUGGAGGCAAGUGUCCCUUGACCUAUCUCUGUCCUAUUCAUUAUUUAAUUCACCUCCCGCUUUACACAUUUAUGCCUAAGGAUUGACUAGCUUUUGUUAUCCAUGUCCUUGUUUACCUAUUUGGGUUGGAUUAUUAUUGUUUAGCCUUAUGCUAUUGCUCAAACUCUAAUCAAUGAACAUGAUGAGAUUAUCUAUGAUACGCUGUUUUCCCCUUCUUUUAUUAUGAUGUUAUACUUGUGGUCUUCAAGGGGGCUCGAGCGGUUUCUCGAGUGCCUCUCCGUAAGGACCUGUUCUAUGGAUGACCGCCCAGGAAAACAGUGCAACCAUGAGGGUGGAAUGGGAUGCCCUUAGCUGAAUAAUUAGAGGAUCCGGGGUGUAGUUCACUUAGCCGUCGUGCCGUCAAUGGGGCUCGGUGUAUGCGGCUCGCUCUGCCAAGUUUGGGUUCGCCCCUUGGGGAGGAGUGCGGUGCAUUUAGGAAACCUAACGGGUGGCUACAGCCCCGGGGAAUCUUUGUAAAGGCUACGUAGUGAUGCCCUGCUGGGUCACCUUGGUAGUGAUCAAUGGACAGUCAUGAUCUCCGGGCAGAAAGGGAAUCACGGCUUGUGGGUAAAGUGCACAACCUAUGCAGAGUGUUUGAAAACUGAUAUAUCAGCCGUGCUCGCGGUUAUGAGCGGCCAAGGGAGCUCCAGUGAUUAGUGGUACUUGAUCAGAGAUACUUUGGUACAGGUGGUUAUGAGAUUGAUGGUUUUGGUUAUGACUAUGGUGCUGGUAAGUGGUAUUCUUUCCGUUUGGAAAGGGUACAUCGGGUUAACAACUUGGGUUAAUGCUAAAACUUGGCUUUCUAUUAGUAAAUAAUAAUCUGACCAACUAAAAGCAGCUGCUUGACUUAUCCCCACAUACAGCUAGUCCACUACAGCCAAACAGGAUACUUGCUGAGUAUGUUGAUGUGUACUCACCCUUGCUCUACACACCAAACCCCCCCAUCCCCAGGUUGUCAGCAUUGCAACCACUGCUCAGGCGAAGAUGAAGCUGUGGAAGGAGACUUCCAGGAGUUCCAAGACUAUGACGAGUUCUAGGCGUGGGUUAGCGGCAACCCCCAGUCGGCUGCCUGUGAAGGCCGCGGUUAUCUACGUUUCUUUUCCGCACUUUGAUUUAGUGUAAGGACUAUAUGGACGUCUCAGACGUAUGAUGUAAUCGACUAUUUCCCUUCUUAAUACUAUUUUGAGCACUGUGUGAUGAUGUCCAUGUUAUGUAACUGCUGUGUACGUGAAUAACUGAUCCUGGCACGUACAUGGUUCGCAUUCGGUUUGCCUUCUAAAACCGGGUGUGACAUAAGUGGUAUCAGAGCCGUGCUGACUGUAGGACCGCUAACCUAGAAUAGAAUGGUCGUUCUAAGGACUAUAGACCUCUGUCUCUGCCUUGACUUUGAUAUCCCUUCAAAAGUUGGUCAUACCGACCAAACCUAUGUUCUACUAUAUAAUAUACCUUGCUGAAAAUUGUGUUUUAUUCUAAUCCUUCAUUUACUUAUGAUUCAUUAUUUGCUGGUCAUAUUAAUUCUGUUCUCACCCUUUUGCUUGCGAUGUCUUUUGUAGAUGGCUCGACUUAGACACACUGCACGAAAGUCAGUCAUCCCCUUCUUACCCUCCCGCCUUGCUUAGCGUCCACUUCGCCGUCCCGUGGCCGAACAGUCCAGCCACUUGGAGAGACUGCACCACCGCCUGCGUGAGGAGCAGGAACGUCGACGACAGGAGCAGCAGGGCUCUUCUUUCUCGCUCCAGCAGGAGAUAGAGUCCGUGAGGAGCUGCUCCCCUGUGCUUCCUCUGGAGGUGCCCCCUGCACCACCACUGGGCGCCCCAGCUUCUGGAGUAGCUGCUAGAGGAGACCCAGACGACGGAGGUGGUGACGACAGCUCGAGCCACGACACCGACUUCUCUGCUAACCAUGAGCCGAAAGGAUGGGUUGCUCGACCCAUCACUCGCGACGCUGCUCGCGGGUGUCACUUCCACGAUGCGCUCGACACCCUGCUACGUCGGGCAUUUAACCGGCAUACUUGGUCCAUCGAGUAUCGCUGUGUGGUCUACCAGCACAGUCGCGGGGUCUACCCGGACCGCUGGGAGGCAACCUGCUUGGUGCGCCGCCCGGAGAACAGUCUCCAGGGUGCAGAGGCCUGCUCAGAGCACUAUUCUAUCUCUGAGCGGGACUCAGCUGAGGCAGCCAUGCAAGAUGCUGCACGGCGUGCGCUUUCGCACUACUGCUCGGUUUUCGGUGGGGCAGCUGACGGUCUUGACCUGAAGUAUUAUCCCCGCCGUCCAUCUGGCAGCACAGGAGGCGUGAUUGUCUCACCUGUCGGUGAGGGCAAUCCUAGGUUGAGCAGCACAGUCAACCUAGCCGUCGUGCUAAACACGGAGCUGGACCAUGCAUUAGACGAGCUGAGUAGGGCUCGUGCUGAGAUCGCCCUGCUGCGGGCUGAGCGCGCGGAACGUCGUCACCUGGAUGGUGGUUCCCCCGCUCCCGUCGGGACUCAGCACCCGUACCGCUCACCUCGGCGUGGACACCAGUCUUAUGGCAAUCCCGACUGCAAGACCAAGAUAACUCUAGAACCAUAGAUCGUUAGAGUUGGAUCUUGUAAUUAAUACGAAAUAUAUAUAUGUAGAAGCUACAAUCUUAGCGUUAGUCUCGGUCUUAAUUAGUCUUAGUUAGACAGGGUAGUUUGCUAUAUCCUGUGCAUUUAUGUUUGUCAUGAUGAACUAUGUUUGGUUUGGAUCUUUGUAAUGAUUGUCACCAGAGUAUGGGUAUCCCCUGCAUUUUGGGUUACCUAUUAUGUUAAUGGAGUUAGUUAUAUAGUUGGGAAAACCUUUUAUUCCACUUUCCUCUUUAUCUGAGAAGCUGGGUGGUCUGUGUUGGAGAUCAGUGAAGAUGCUCAUCUGUUCAGUGCUGUUGAAGAAUUCUAUACUCUUUUCCUAUGCUGCAAGAUUUGCCAGAUCAGUUCUGAUGUGUGGUUGCAUUCUGCAGAUGUCAGAGAACAGGCGCAGAGGAGGAAGGCGUGCUCAGCAGGAGCGAGCCGCUCAACAGGAUGAGGUGCCCCAGCAGCAGCACCUGCCGCCCCCGCCCCCGAUGUCGAUCGAGCAGAUGUUUCUGAUGCAGACUCAGGCAGUUCAAGCCAUCGGUCAGACUUUG
rnacentral:lncRNA from 1 species